CCUUGUACACACCGCCCGUCACACCAUGGGAGUUGGUUUCACCCGAAGACGGUACGCUAACCCGCAAGGGAGGCAGCCGGCCACGGUGGGAUCAGCGACUGGGGUG
rnacentral:rRNA from 1 species